UACGUAGGAUGCGAGCGUUGUUCGGAAUUAUUGGGCGUAAAGCGUGCGUAGGCGGCUUGUUAAGUCUGGUGUGAAAGCUAGGGGCUCAACCCCUGUGUUGCACUGGAAACUGGCAGGCUUGAGUGCGGUAGGGGAAGGUGGAAUUCCGAGUGUAGCGGUGAAAUGCGUAGAUAUUCGGAAGAACCCCGGUGGCGAAGGCGCCCUUCUGGGCCGCCACUGACGCUGAGGCACGAAAGCGUGGGGAGCAAACGGG
rnacentral:rRNA from 1 species